GAAUCUUUCCUUCUAGCUACUUUGAAACAUAUGAUACAUUUGUGUUAAGGCUAGUCACCCUGCUGUGGAAUAGAAGACCAGAAUUGAUCACUCUCAUCUGAGAGUAACUUUGUACCCCAUCACUGAUUCCUUCUGAGACCGCCUCCACUUCCCCAGCAGCCUCUGGUUUCUUCAUGUGGCUGCAGAUGGCAGGAUUUCCCAAAGGUUUAUGGCUGAAACAUAUUCCGUGGUGUAUCUGUACAGCAGUUUCCUCAUCCCUGCAGCUGUGUUUGAACAGGUCAUUUACCAUGCUGUCCUCCAGGUUCAACAGUAUGGCUCCAAAUGAUGAAAUUUCACUUUGAUUUUCUGGCUGAAGACUAUUCUGUUUGUGUGCGUCCCCCACAGUUACUUU